GAUCCUGGCUCAGGAUGAACGCUAGCGGCAGGCCUAACACAUGCAAGUCGAGGGGUAAGGCUUUCUUCGGAGAGCACACGACCGGCGCACGGGUGAGUAACGCGUAUGUAACCUUCCUCUUUCAGGAAGAUAGCUCCCGGAAACGGGAAUUAAUAUUCCAUAGUCCAUAAUAAUCACAUGAUUAGUAUGGUAAAGUUCCGACGGAAAGAGAUGGACAUGCGUGUCAUUAGUUAGUUGGUGAGGUAACGGCUCACCAAGACGACGAUGACUAGGGGUUCUGAAAGGAUGAUCCCCCACACUGGUACUGAGACACGGACCAGACUCCUACGGGAGGCAGCAGUGAGGAAUAUUGCGCAAUGGAGGCAACUCUGACGCAGCCAUGCCGCGUGCAGGAGGACGGCCCUACGGGUUGUAAACUGCUUUUCUUAACUAAGAACCGUGGAUAAUCUUAUCCACCUGACUGGUUUUGGAAUAAGCAUCGGCUAACUCCGUGCCAGCAGCCGCGGUAAUACGGAGGAUGCAAGCGUUAUCCGGAUUCACUAGGUUUAAAGGGUGCGUAGGCGGAAUAAUAAGUCAGUGGUGAAAUCUUGCGGCUCAACCGUAAAAUUGCCAUUGAUACUGUUAUUCUUGAGUAUGGUUGAGGUAGGCGGAAUGAGUAAUGUAGCGGUGAAAUGCUUAGAUAUUACUCAGAACACCGAUUGCGUAGGCAGCUUACCAAGCCAUCACUGACGCUGAGGCACGAAAGCGUGGGUAGCAAACAGGAUUAGAUACCCUGGUAGUCCACGCCGUAAACGUUGAUUACUCGUUGUUGGCAAUACACCGUCAGCGACUGAGCAAAGGCAUUAAGUAAUCCACCUGGGGAGUACGUCAGCAAUGAUGAAACUCAAAGGAAUUUGACGGGGGCCCGCACAAGCGGAGGAACAUGUGGUUUAAUUCGAUGAUACGCGAGGAACCUUACCUGGGCUUAAAUGUUUAGUGAUCGACCGGGAGACCGGUUUUUCCUUCGGGACACUUUACAAGGUGCUGCAUGGUUGUCGUCAGCUCGUGCCGUG
rnacentral:rRNA from 1 species